rnacentral:lncRNA from 1 species
CAGCCCCCCGCCCGGCCAGCCGCCCCGUCCGGGAGGGAGGUGGGGGUGUCAGCCCCCCGCCCGGCCAGCCGCCCCGUCUGGGAGGUGAGGGGCGCCUCUGCCCGGCCGCCCAUACUGGGAAGUGAGGAGCCCCUGUGCCCGGCCAGCCGCCCCGUCCGGGAGGGAGGUGGGGGGGUCAUCCCCCCGCCCGGCCAGCAGCCCCGUCCGGGAAGGAAGGUGGGGGGGGGUCAGCCCCCCCACCCGGCCAGCCGCCCCGUCCGGGAGGUGAGGGGCGCCUCUGCCCGGCCGCCCCUACUGGGAAGUGAGGAGCCCCUCUGCCCGGCCAGCCGCCCCGUCCGGGAGGGAGGUUGGGGGGUCAGCCCCCCGCCCGGCCAGCCGCCCCGUCCGGGAGGUGAGGGGCGCCUCUGCCCCGCCGCCCCUCCUGGGAAGUGAGGAACCCCUCUGCCGGGCCACCACCCCGUCUGGGAGGUGUGCCCAACAGCUCAUUGAGAACGGGCCAGGAUGACAAUGGUGGCUUUGUGGAAUAGAAAGGCGGGAAAGGUGGGGAAAAGAUUGAGAAAUCGGAUGGUUGCCGUGUCUGUGUAGA